ensembl:lncRNA
UCUCUAGAUCCACAGAAUUAGAAACUCUGGGGGUGCUCCUGCUGUUCCCAUUUCAGAGAAGUUUCCGUUCUCCCUUCACUGGACAGUUUCCUGCUCACCUCCCACCUGAGAUGAAACAUGCUUUCUCUGUGGAGAGUAUGAGAGGAGACCAAGAAUUGCUGAAAUGAGGGAACAGGAACAGUCAACAGCCAGGGGUCUGCUCCUUUCCCUCUCCUGCAGAGAUAAAGCCAGCAGAAGGAAGCCAUGUCUCUUCCCUCCUCACCCAGGCAGGGUCACUGCCAUGGCCCCUGAGCCAAAGUGCCGCCCUGCCCCACUGCCAGCCUCUCCACUCCUGCAACAAGGGGGCUCAGCAGGGCCAGCGGGAGCCCGCCUGCAGACACACGUGAAUGGGCACCUCCCGUAGAGCCCUGCUCGUUUCAGCUGUCUGUCGGCCACGUCCGGUGACCUCCUGGAUGGGGGCUUCCCCCAGAGGCACCAGCCUCUCUGGCAUGCGUGCUCCCACCCUGCUCCUCACAGCCCCUCACUGAGCCUAUUGGGGCCCAAGCAAGGUCAGCUCCACGACACCCACAUCCGAUCAGGGUACCCCCGCCACCCCCAGAGCUACAGAGUGCUUCCAGAACCACCAGUUGGUGAUCUUCAAGCAACUUGAAUAGAGAGAAAAAAAAACCCCCCACGUGUUGGUUGAAGUUAAAUGGACCUCUUUGCACUAAAUCAAUCACACUUAGCUGUGUGCCUUCCCACUGUUUCAGUCAUGCAGUAGCUCAGAGCAGAUUUCCCUCCUCAAGGAGGUAACGGUGACUGGUCCCACUUUCCAGAUGGGACAGGAAGACAGAUGCUGGUAAGGCUGUGGGCAGAUGACAGGAUGGCUUUCUGGUAAUGCAAGAGUGGGGAUGCACAUGCAGGGUCCACAGCCGGAGGCAGCACGGCCUGGAAGAAGCCCAGGAGGGGGACGCAAGCUGAAUUCUGAGAGGGCUCCAGGAGCGGAGUCUGACAGGAGCAGUGCCAGGAGAGGAAGCCUUCCAACCCAGGGCCGGUUUGUAUUGUCCGCAGGACAGAAAAUAGACCAUUCUCUGUGUCCUUCAUGACUUCACCGAGGGAAGAAUGCGAGUCUACUCUGUAUCCUUCAUGACUUCACCAAGGGAAGAAUGCGAGUCUAUAGGAACACCAGAGAGACACAAAUCUGCACACUCAUGGGUAUUUCUGUCUGCUGCGUGUAUGCCCUGCUGCCUGGGGCCUGCAUGGAGGAGGAGGGAUACUCUGCCACCUGACAGAAGACAGUUCUCUCAAAGCCCACUGUAAACCCCCAAAUGUGAGGUUCUUUAAGUUCACUUUCCCUGAGGGCCCCAGGAACGCACGCUUUUACUCUCCGAGUGCACACAUCAAAGCACAUGCUUGUCAACACAACUUUUCUCCCCAACCCUAGAGACCAACCAUCACACCCCCUUCCAGAAGUCUGCGGUUGGCAGUGGUUCUGACUGGGACCCCAACCUUCACAGCUGCUGGGCAGGGCGGGGCUGGACCCCAGGCUGCUGUGACCGGAAACCCAGCCUGCUCUCUCAGCCAUCCCCCUCCCGUCACCUACAGCCCACAGG